rnacentral:rRNA from 1 species
UGGGGAAUUUUGGACAAUGGGCGCAAGCCUGAUCCAGCAAUGCCGCGUGCAGGAUGAAGGCCUUCGGGUUGUAAACUGCUUUUGUACGGAACGAAACGGUGAGCUCUAAUACAGUUUGCUAAUGACGGUACCGUAAGAAUAAGCACCGGCUAACUACGUG